GCACUGCUGAGGAGUCCCGGAAAUAGAACGAAAUGGCCAUCCAGUGC
rnacentral:hammerhead_ribozyme from 1 species